UUUUUUGAGAGAGAGUGAGAGAGAGAGGGAGCCGAGAAAGAGAGAGAGAGGAGAAAGAGCAUCGGUUUAUUUUUUAGAGAGAGGAGAGCAUUCACGGCUUUCAUACACCUUAGGUAAAUUGGAAUGAUUUUUUUUUUUUGCUUUGUUUGUGUUUGUCCCAUGUUUGAAUGAGAAUCAAUUUUUUUCAACUUGAAGGAGAGCAUUCACGAUUUUUUCAACUUGAAGGCAUACACCAUGGCUUCUUCUUCAAACCAAGUAAGUAUCCUAUUUCGUUGAUUUUAAAUUCGGAUUUGUUGUGUUUAAUUCUUUGAAGCAUGUUAUUUUCGUGAAUUAUUUUGGUGACAUUGUUUGAUUCGAAUUACUUGUGUUUAAUUAUUUUCGUGAAUAAGACCCAGUUUGGUAGGGUCUGUAAGCUUAGACUGUUAAUUAGUCUUGCUUUAUUUCGAUGUUUGCUAGCGUUAGACAUUUAAUUAGUC
rnacentral:lncRNA from 1 species